CCCCUAGAUGUUCUGGGCCGCACGCGCGCUACACUGAACAGUUCAACAAGUCUUAACCUUGGCCGAUAGGUCUGGGUAAUCUUUGAACGCUGUUCGUGAUUGGGAUAGACCUUUGCAAUUAUGGGUUUUCAACGAGGAAUUCCUAGUAAACGCAAGUCAUCAGCUUGCAUUGAUUACGUCCCUGCCCUUUGUACACACCGCCCGUCGCACCUACCGAUUGAAUGGUCCGGUGAAAUCUCGGGACGGCGGCUUGGUCGCUUGCGUCCGACUGCUGAAACUUGAUUAAACCAUAUCAUUUAGAGGAAGGUGAAGUCGUAACA
rnacentral:rRNA from 1 species